UACGUAGGGGGCUAGCGUUGUCCGGAAUCAUUGGGCGUAAAGCGCGCGUAGGCGGCCCUGUUAGUCCGCUGUAAAAGUCAAAGGCUCAACCUUUGAAUGCCGGUGGAUACUGCAGGGCUAGAGUCCGGAAGAGGCGAGUGGAAUUCCUGGUGUAGCGGUGGAAUGCGCAGGAUAUCAGGAGGAACACCAACGGCGAAGGCAGCUCGCUGGGACGGUACUGACGCUGGAGGCGCGAA
rnacentral:rRNA from 1 species